rnacentral:rRNA from 1 species
UACAGAAGGUGCGAGCGUUAAUCGGAAUUACUGGGCGUAAAGGGUGCGUAGGUGGUUUUGUAAGUUAGGUGUGAAAAUCCCGGGCUUAACCUGGGGAUUGCGCCUAAUACUGCAAAGCUAGAGUACUGUAGAGGAAAGUGGAAUUUCCAGUGUAGCAGUGAAAUGCGUAGAUAUUGGAAGGAACAUCAGUGGCGAAGGCGACUUUCUGGACAGAUACUGACACUGAGGCACGAAAGCGUGGGGAGCAAACAGG